UACGGAGGGGGCUAGCGUUGUUCGGAAUUACUGGGCGUAAAGCGCACGUAGGCGGCUUUGUAAGUUAGAGGUGAAAGCCCGGGGCUCAACUCCGGAACUGCCUUUAAGACUGCAUCGCUAGAAUUGUGGAGAGGUGAGUGGAAUUCCGAGUGUAGAGGUGAAAUUCGUAGAUAUUCGGAAGAACACCAGUGGCGAAGGCGACUUACUGGACACAUAUUGACGCUGAGGUGCGAAAGCGUGGGGAGCAAACAGG
rnacentral:rRNA from 1 species